UACGUAGGGAGCAAGCGUUGUCCGGAUUUACUGGGCGUAAAGAGCUCGUAGGCGGUUUGCUAAGUCGGAAGUCAAAACUACAGGCUCAACUUGUAGUCGCUUCCGAUACUGGUAUGACUUGAAUCUGGUAGGGGAUCACGGAAUUCCUGGUGUAGCGGUGAAAUGCGCAGAGAUCAGGAGGAACACCAAUGGCGAAGGCAGUGAUCUGGGCCAGUAUUGACGCUGAGGAGCGAAAGCGUGGGGAGCGAACAGG
rnacentral:rRNA from 1 species